rnacentral:rRNA from 1 species
CGCGUAGGCGGUCUGCCAAGUCAGGGGUGAAAGCCUCCAGCUUAACUGGAGAAGUGCCUUUGAUACUGGCGGACUCGAGUGAGGUAGGGGUAGCGGGAACUUCCGGUGGAGCGGUGAAAUGCGUUGAUAUCGGAAGGAACGCCGGUGGCGAAAGCGCACUACUGGACCUCUUCUGACGCUGAGGCGCGAAAGCCAGGGGAGCAAACGGGAUUAGAUACCCCGGUAGUCCUGGCCCUAAACGAUGAGUACUAGGUAGUGGACUAACAUGGGUUCACUGCCGAAGCAAAAGUGUUAAGUACUCCGCCUGGGGAGUAUGGUCGCAAGGCUGAA